rnacentral:lncRNA from 1 species
UUCACGUUAACGGCGUCAAAUGGUUGUAACCCUUUAACUUUACUUCCUGGUUUAACAACGUUAGCAUCUACACAGAAGGCGACGGAGCCAUGACCUCCGGCCGACAUCCUCAUCUCGGUGCCCUCUUCGACGGUGAUGAUGAUGGUGACGGUGCCUACCUACCUACGUCAUUCAUCGGCUCUUAUUCUUAGGAUUCCUAUCGUCUUCCUCUCAGGAAGGUUCAAUCCUCUUUCAUAUGCUUCGUUUUCGCCCCUUAAUACGAACAGGAACGCCGCCUAUUAGGGUUCACUGCGAAACUCAACUCUCCUCUCAGGUAUUAUUUUUUUCCCUUUUUUUGUUAUUGAUUGUGCUUUAUUCUGUUGUAUGGGUUUGAUAGUAUCGUCUGGAGGAUUGAAGAAAGAAAGAAGAAUUAGGGAAAAUAGGGGUUUCAGAGUUUGAUUUUGUUAUCUAUGGAGCAUAUUGAGUGAAAUUGGGGUAAAAUUUGGGGAAAUUAGGGUUUCAAAUUGUAGAUUUAGGAUGAAAUUGACAAGUGAGAUUCGAUUAGUGUGUUGAUUGUACUAAUUUUGAGGUUGAUUGAAGCUGAUUUUGUGUAUGACAGUGAUGAAUUAUGAGUUUUUUAGUUUAGGUUGGAAGUUUAUUAGAAAAAAAAACACAAUUGGUUUACAUGUGAGUUGUGACUAUCAGACCAUGAUUAUUCUUGUGACAGGGAUUUUAAAUAAUAAGCAUGUGUGAUUUUUUAAUCAAGUCAUAAUAAAUAGGUGUCGGUUAUUAGCAGCGUUGUUGCGUUGAUCAUGUGUUAAACAACGUAACAACGUAAAAAACGUAAAAAAGAUCGUUUUGUUUGUAUUUGAAGUUUAAACUGAAGUUAAACUUUUAGGCUAUUUAGUUUAAGCUUAUGAGGAUUAGACUUCCGACAAAAGUGAGGAUCGAGAGAAUAAGAAUAUCUUAGCACACCGAUGUUGACCGACUAUAAAGCACAUUAAUAAACUCUUAGGAACUAGAUUCUUACCUUCCUCAGAUUCUUCUUACUUGAAUUCACAAAAAGAGGUUGUAUUUAUCCUUUUUAUAUGCAUUGAGGCAUUGUAUAAGGUUUGAUUAUGUUUUUCCUCUUCAGUCUCGCGUGUAUAAACUUCACGCAUAUGAAGUUAAACAUUAUUAAUGAACUUAUAAUUAGCUCAUUUAGCCGUCCAACGCCUCAUCAUCACAGCUAAUCACCACCGUCCUCUGAUUUGUGAUUUUAGACCGGCACAGUUAUAAAUAAUAUGUUUACUUCAGACUCAGUUGAGUUGAGAUCUGGAGCAGCAAUAGUUUUGUGUGAACUCUUUGUUUGAACUAUAAAACUUUAAUGCUAGCAAACAUCACAAUUGUCGUGGAAAUCAUGGAUUAGGUGUUCGAUUUUCUACGCCUUCGAUGUAGUAUGUAAAUUAGACUAUUGAACUCUUUAUAAAUUUGCAUAAGAUUAACUUGGUGAUUGGAUCAGGGUAAGAGGCCAAUGCAAGCCAGUUAAGUUGGCUAAUGCUAUUUUUGCUUUUGCUUUCUUUUGGGAAGUGAGUUACUUGAAGACCACAUAUAAUUAGUUGGUGAAAAUGACAUCUCUGAAAUAUUGCAUGGAAAAUUGAAGGCAAGUAUAUGUUAUGACUUUAAAAAAAAGAUUUGCGAACUACAACUGAAUGACUAUUUUUUACUUGUACUUAAUUAUUUUUUAAAUAUAUUUAAUGUACACAUUCAGGGAAGAAAAGAAACAUUGGCUUAGAAUGUUGAAAGUUUUUAUUCACCAAUAUGUUUGAGUUGAUUGUUGUGAAAAAAAGGUCAAAACAGAUAAUUUUAAGUCAAAAAUAGGUAAAUGUUUGUGUGGGUCAAAAUGUGUUGGAUCAGGAGAGAUUGACCUGUGAACAUCUGUCUACUCAGAUUUUUAAACAUUGUGAACUAUAGUAACAAAUACUAUUCUAUUACAGUUAUAAUCUCAUUUGUUUGAAUAAAUCAAUUUAUUAGGUUUUCCUAUGCCAUGUAAAUCAUCUACUUUUACCCGUUAAAUGAGUUGAAAAAAAAAACCCUUUUCUCAUUAUUAUAUGACCCUUUUCAACUGUAAUCUAACUGCUUUUGGAGCAAAUAUCUUGCACACUGUCGGAUACAUAUACAAAAGACAAGGUGCACAAGAGCUCGGAAGAAGCAAUUUACCUUAAUGGUCCAACAGGUUCAGAACAAAGGGCAUUUUUGGAAAUCACAAAUUACUACAAUAAAAGGUUGUAUAUAUAGUUUGAUCAAUCAGAAGCAGUUCGAGUUUUGAAAGAUAUUGCACUCUUUAGUAUUUAAAAAAGUGUAUCCGUUUGUGUAGAAAACGUAAUGGGUCAAAAUGAGCUUUAAUUUGUACUACUUCGAAUGGUAUUCUAAUGUUAUCAUAAUUUCGGAUUAACGCGCCGCAACGCGCGUGGGGUUAAAGCCUAGUUAAUAUAUAGAUAAUCCUCCUACUAAAUAUUAUUUAGU